AAUAUUGGAUGUUAGCCUAAAAACAUCGCAUCCAUGCGAUAAAGGCUAACUGACCUGCGUCGGUGCUGC
rnacentral:sRNA from 1 species